rnacentral:rRNA from 1 species
AUGGCGUCCAAGGGUCUUCUUGUGUUUGCUCUCCUGCUUGCUGCUGCUAUCCUCGUCGCCUCAACUGAACAAACUCAGGCCAAGAAGGAGGAGAAGAAAGCCGGUGUAGAGGGCUACGGCGGCGGCGGCGGCUACCCUGGAGGCGGCGGGGGAGGCUACCCAGGCCACGGUGGAGGAGGAGGCGGCGGCUAUCCAGGACACGGUGGAGGAGGAGGCGGCGGCUAUCCAGGACACGGUGGAGGAGGUGGCGGUGGCUACCCGGGCCACGGUGAAGGAGGCGGUGGCGGCUACCCAGGCGGUGGUGGUGGUGGCGGCGGCGGCUACCCCGGACACGGCGGUGGCGGCGGCGGUGGCUACCCCGGACACGGCGGACGCGGCGGCGGCAGUGGAUGUCAAUGGGGCUGCUGCGGUAACGGGUACCAUGGGUGCCGCUGCUGUGCGCGCGCGGACGAGGUCCCGGAGCCCAUGUACCGCGCGGAGGUCCGCAACUGA